rnacentral:rRNA from 1 species
AUUGAACGCUGGCGGCAGGCCUAACACAUGCAAGUCGAACGAGUGGCGGACGGGUGAGUAAUUUCUGGGAAACUGCCCGAUGUAGGGGGAUAACUACUGGAAACGGUAGCUAAUACCGCAUACCAUCGGAUGUGCCCAGAUGGGAUUAGCUCGUAGGUGGGGUAACGGCUCACCUAGGCGACGAUCCCUACCUGGUCUGAGAGGAUGACCAGCCACACUGGAACUGAGACACGGUCCAGACUCCGACGGGAGGCAGCAGUGGGGAAUAUUGCACAAUGGGCGCAAGCCUGAUGCAGCCAUGCCGCGUGUAGGAAGAAGGCUUUCGGGUUGGAAAGUACUGUCAGCGGGGAGGCGGGAUUCGCAGAAGAAGCACCGGCUAACUACGUGCCAGCAGCCGCGGUAAUAC